CGAAAGCCUGACGGAGCAAUACCGCGUGAGGGAGGAAGGCUCUUGGGUUGUAAACCUCUUUUCUCAAGGAAGAACACAAUGACGGUACUUGAGGAAUAAGCAUCGGCUAACUCCGUGCCAGCAGCCGCGGUAAUACGGAGGAUGCAAGCGUUAUUCGGAAUUAUUGGGCGUAAAGCGUCCGCAGGUGGUAAUUCAAGUCUGCUGUCAAAGACCGAAGCUUAACUUCGGAAAGGCGGUGGAAACUGAAUAACUAGAGUACGGUAGGGGUAGAGGGAAUUUCCAGUGUAGCGGUGAAAUGCGUAGAGAUUGGAAAGAACACCAGUGGCGAAGGCGCUCUACUGGACCGUAACUGACACUCAGGGACGAAAGCUAGGGUAGCG
rnacentral:rRNA from 1 species